rnacentral:rRNA from 1 species
GACGAACGCUGGCGGCGUGCUUAACACAUGCAAGUCGAGCGGUAAGGCCCUUUCGGGGGUACACGAGCGGCGAACGGGUGAGUAACACGUGGGUGACCUGCCCUCAGCUCUGGGAUAAGCCUGGGAAACCGGGUCUAAUACCGGAUAUGACUCCAUGACGCAUGUUGUGGGGUGGAAAGCCUUGUGCGGCUGAGGAUGGGCCCGCGGCCUAUCAGCUUGUUGGUGGGGUGAUGGCCUACCAAGGCGACGACGGGUAGCCGGCCUGAGAGGGCGACCGGCCACACUGGGACUGGGACACGGCCCAGACUCCUACGGGAGGCAGCAGUGGGGAAUCUUGCGCAAUGGGCGAAAGCCUGACGCAGCGACGCCGCGUGAGGGAUGACGGCCUCGG